rnacentral:rRNA from 1 species
UGUGGUAGCAAAAUCACUAGGAGGUUACAAUGAAUUUUGUAGGAAUGAUUUAUCAAGAGAAAAACUGUCUUUAUAUUAAAGUUUGAAUUUAACUUUUAAGUGAAAAGGCUUAAAUAUUCUAAAGGGACGAUAAGACCCUAUAAAACUUUACAUUAGCUGUUAAUAUUUUAUUUAAUUUUGUUGUAUUACGAUUUAAAUUUAAUUUUUUGUUAUGUUGGGGAGACAAAAGCUAUAAUUUAUAUUAACCGCUUGAAAAGAAAUCAAUAACUUAGCGACCCCUUUGUUACCUACCCCCUCUAAACUUAAAAAGACUAAUUUACUUUUCGGAUAACAUCUUUUUUUUUUUUGAGAUUUCAUAUC